AUGUGCUGCCGGCCCGGGCUCCAUGAGCGUGGCGGGCACUUUGCAGUCUCGGGUGUUCCUGCCCGGUCUUCUGUUCCUAAACUGCAGCAAAGGGAAAAGGAACUGAAAAAGGCAGGCUCGUCGUUGCAAUAUCACCAAAAGAGAAAAUUAACGGCAUGCCAUCAGGACCACAGCAGUUGGAGAAACAACUCUUUAUCCCGGCUUGCAGCCACGAGUCAUACACGUGGACCUAACUGCACCAGUAGCUUUUCUGAGAAUACUUGCUGAAAAGGAAGUUUUCUGGAAUGGGUAAGUGUAUUCUGAUUUUCUUGAACUUUUCUUAAAAACAAAUUUUUCUUGCUAUUAAAGUUGAAUAAAUAGGAUUGGUUUCUUAGAGAGUAAAAGUAGGUGUUUCUUUCUUUAGACAAUGUACCUUUUCUGAAAAACUAACUCAUUAAGUACGGAUUUGCUAAUUUUAAGGUAGUAAAAUUACAGUGUAAAUAUUCCUGUACAUUUUUGGAAACUGGCUUAUGCAGUUUACGAAAUAUAAUUUUAGACCCUCUUUUAAGUUGGGUGAUAAAGUAGAUAUAACCUGAGAUGAUAGAUUUAAACAGGAUAUUUACGUUCUGCUACAAUUGACUGAUAACACUUGAAGUGUAGUCUGAACAGUAAUUUUGUUAAUCAUUUCAACAAGUAUUUGCUAAGUGGAAGCCAGAAGAGGAGGAAAAUGUUUUGCCACGUGGAUGUGAAGAUUUCCUCUAAAAGACCUGUCUAACUACAAGCCAGACUUGGGUUUUCUCCUGUAGUUUGAAGACACACUGACUCCUGACAAAAUGCAGCCUGCAACUUCCUGGAGAACAACUCAGUGUCACAUUAAAGUUUAUUAUGUAUUUAAUGAUACACUGUUUAAUUGACAGUUUUGCAUAGUUUGUCUAACUUUAGAGAAUUAAGAGCCUCUCAACUGAGCAGUAAAGGUAAGGAGAGCUCAAUCUGCACAGAGCCAGUUUUUAGUGUUUGAUGGAAAUAAGAUCAUCAUGCCCACUUGAGACUUCAGAUUAUUCUUUAGCUUAGUGGUUGUAUGAGUUACAUCUUAUUAAAGUCGAAAUUAAUGUAGUUUUCUGCCUUGAUAACAUUUCAUAUGUGGUAUUAGUUUUAAAGGGUCAUUAGGAAAAUGCACAUAUUCCAUGAAUUUUAAGACCCAUAGAAAAGUUGAAGAAUGCUUAAUUUUCUUAUCCAGUAAUGUAAACACAGAGACAGAACAUUGAGAUGUGCCUAGUUCUGUAUUUACAGUUUGGUCUGGCUGUUUGAGUUCUAGCGCAUUUAAUGUUAAUAAAUAAAAUACUGCAUUUUAAAGCUGUUAAGAAAUUGUCCAGAACGAGAAUAUUGAAAUAAAAACUUCAAGGUUAUUAUCGCAGUUUUUAUGGCGUUUUUGUUUUGUCACUACAGAUGGUCUAAAGGUUACUUAUUAAUUAAUUGGGGAAGUGGAGACAAGGACCAAAGUUUAUCUGGAUUUUCUUAUUUAAUCUUCAUUACCUGUGAAAUAUGUAUUUGUAUUCUUACUUUACAUAUGAGAUCAGAAGUUCAUUUUCAAGCAGAAUGGAAAGGUGGUAAAUGGACUCUGAAUUAAAAUAUGUCAGUAUUUUAAAAGGUUAUCUUCUGCCUAGUAUUUUUAUGGAAUCUGACAAGUUCUCAGAUCACACUUGUUUCCUUAAAUCUUGGUAAGUCUGAAGCAUUCUUCAUUUUGUUUAUAUUAUACACGUUAGUAAGGUGGGAGUUCUUUUGUUUUUUGUGUUUUUUGGCCAGUUGAUAACAUGAAAGUUUAAGAGAGGAGGCCAAAGUAUAUAAAAAGUCUUAAACUCCUGCUUCUAAUAAAUGUCCAAUAUGUGUUGGCUCCUGGGUUGAGUGUUUAUUAAUGGGUCUGUACUAACUCUAAAACAUUAAAUAAGAAUGGUAUGUUCUGACCAGCCCUCAAAGUUCAGCCAUUUCUAAAAGUUCAAAAAAUCAUUGUAAAUAUUUUUUAAAUGAGGUACGAGAUUGUACCUGUCUAUGGCCAGUAACACAAGAAAUCUAGGCUCAUGCAGAGUUUUAGCAUAGUUGACCCUCAGUAUCAGUGGAGGGAUUGGUAGGACCCUCAGUGCAUACCAAAUUCUUCAGGUGCUCAAGUCCCUUAUGUAAAGUGGUGCAGUGUUUGCAUGUAAAUCUAUACAUGUCUUCUUGUAUGCUUUAAGCUGUCUAUAUAUUGCUUGAAUAAUCUGGUAAAAUAUCUUACAUAUUAUUCAUGUAGAUUCAGUAUAGUAUUUGCGUGUGGCAAAUUCAGGUUUGGCUUUUGGGGACUUCGUGAGAUUUUUUUUCCUGAGUAUUUUCAGUCUGUUUGUGGUUGGAUGCAGGAACCACAGAUACAUAGGGCUAACUUAAGUAAGUGCCGACAUAAAUGCGUUAGUCAUAGAGGUAAAUAACAAAGACCUGAGUUUGGUAGUAAGUUCCCCGAAAUGAAAUGUUAGUAUACUCCUAAGUGAUUAGUAAUUAGAUCUCAGGUUGAAUAUACUAAAUCCUUAAUAACUGCAUGUUUACUUUUAAGACCUAGAUUUGUCAGUAUAUUAGUAGAGGUGAGCAUGUACUAAUUGUUCACACUUGUUUAUAAAAGCAUAUAUACUGUGAAUUUUUAGUACGUUUAAUGUUGACUUCAACUUACAUAGACUGAAAAAGAUUGAAAAAAAGCUUCGACGACAUCAGUUCUGCACUUGUUGAGAUGUACUGAUCCAGAUGGAAUACCACACUGUUCAGCAGGUUGGGGUAACUAGAUGAGACUAGUGAAUGUUCCAAGAGUAGAUGAAAAUUGGGGUCCUGUAAGGUGGUGCUAGGAAUUCUAAAGUGAUUAUGCAUUUACCAAGAAAAGGUUCUUAACCAGUUGUCUUAAAAUUAUUAAGACGUAAAGACCUGGAAUCUUAAUCUAGCUGCACUAUAUUAGAGUCUUUGGGGCAGGAUGCUGCGCAGACAAGUAUUUUGAGAAAUACCUGUUGAUUUUGCUGUAUAUACUUAAGGAUAUAUCUACUACCCUGAAUUGUUGGAAAUGCUGAGCCAUAGGAAUGCAGAAGAACAUCAAAACACCUUAGAAUUUAUAUGCAGGAAAGAGACCAGUAAACUAUUUUUAUGGUUCAUGCAGUCAUUACUCAGUUUUAUAGCUGACUGACAAAAUAUGUGCCCCAACCCCACAUUUAUUUCUAAAUCCACAGGCUUUUCCUUACUCUUCAAUUUCAGUAACUUCCCUUUUUCUUCUCCAAUGAUACUUUGUUUUGGUAACAGCACCUAACAGGCCAGGUGUGUAGUUGUCUUUGUGCUAUACCUGUAUUUCCUUGGUUGGCUACUGUCACAGUGGCCACCAUCAUUCUGAACAAGUAAGGUGCACAAGGUACAAGCCAUGUCUUUAGACAUAGGUUAUCGUCAGCAUUUAGAUUCUCCUCUAAGGCUUUCAUCUAAAACUCCCUUGGUUUUGUGUUUAAAACUUAGUCCACAGUUUUCUAGUGUUACCCUCAGAAUAAUUGUCAAAAUUGUACUUUCUAAUACUCAAGAUUGCAUCUAAAUUUCAAGUUAGAAAAGAUGUUUAUGCCAUAUUCUGAGUGUCUUGUGUUUAUAACCUAUGAUUCUGCCCUUGACUGUACUUACGAAUACUCCUUUUAAAAUACGAAACUUGAUUGAGACCCCAGCUCAUUUACUGAUGUCUUAAUACAACUGCCUUUCCACUUAAGUGUUUUGGCUCCCCCAGUUCCUAUCAUUUAUCCUCUCCAGGCAGACUUCCACUUCAGACUGCAUUUGCUAUUCCCUUAGUUUGGGAACUUCCCACUCCGGAUACCUAUGACUUAGUCUUGUUUCCUUGUAGUCCUUGUACACAGAUGUCAGACUGGCUCUCCCUUAAACUGCAUACUCUGUUCCUGUUCUCUGCAUCAUCAUCCUGAAUUAGUGGCAUCACCUGGGAUAUUGGAAGUGCAGGUCCUUCCCACCCCCUUCCAAACCUGAAUUGGGAGCUUCGUUUUUUAAUCCCCCCAAUUAAUCUCUAAGAUAUAAGGCCUCCAAGGGCAAAGAUUUGAAGAUGUGUGGUUCAUGGAUGCUUAUUCAACAUCUAAAAUGGUACCUGGUGUGUAGAAGGCACUGAAUAGACUGAACAGGUAAGUGGAAAUGCCCGUGGGUGAAUGUUACUUCUAGGAUGAGACGGUCUGAAAGAGAAAAGCAAAACAAGACUAGUAUGGGGGCAAAGUGCAUUAUUGACGGUGUGGUAAAAAGUCAUUAGAGCAACGUUGGUGGAGCAAGAAAACAGAGUAAGUAAAAAGGAUUUGCUGUGUACAGUAAUCCCAGCAAAAAUGAAGGAAAGCCUAGAAGUGGGGGAUCAAGAAAAAAACCAACUGAUAGAUGCUCCAUUUGUGUGGAUAUGUAAUGUUCAUCUGUUGGAAGUAAAUGUAAAACCCAGCUUCUAAAUCUCAGAAAGCAACUGACAGCAGCAAUAGGGUGAAUGUGAAAGCACUGAACAAAGUAACAAAAGUGCUGAGAAGUUGUGCUUUGUGACAGAUUAGUUUUCAUGAUGUUGCGUGGAUGUGAGAAGGCUCUGCUAAUAGGUAUAGUCAGGUGUGUUUUUUUUUUCGGUUUGGUUUGUUCUCUGUAUUACUUUGAAAUUUAGACUAUCAAGUACCAGAAUACUAUAGUUUUCUAACUCAGGUUCACUCCCUGCAGAAGGUUCAGGAGUACAAGAAGCCCUGCACUGAAUCGUGGUGCCUCAAUUAAAUUUUGAGUUGUCCUUUUGGCUUCCUGAGACAAAACAACGUGUUAAACCAGUUACUUCGAGUGUGUGACAUGAGAAGAUGGAUGAUGAUAAAGAGAAGUUGAGAAAGGCACCUCAGAUUAAUUUUAGGAAACAAAUGUAAACUAAACUUGAAUUCUAUUCUCUUUGAGUCAUGUAAUACUUGGCUAAUCGGUUGAGAAGCUUAAAGAACUAUUUAAGAAGUCUUACAGUGUAAUGUUUAGGACGGAGAAUUCUGGGUUCAAGUACCAGUUUCCUCCAUUAAUAGCUUAGGCAACUUAAGUGUGUUGUCUUUCCCCAAAAAUUGUAAGCUUAGGUAGGCUUUCCCAUCUUGAUCAAAAAGGUAGCUAUCAUGUUCACAUCCAGCUGGAAAAUAAACCUUUCCUCAACUUCAAAGUGAAUUUUCAGCUCCACUCUGCCCACCUGAACUCGGUCUGAGGAACAAGAUUACAUUCAGGCUUGAGCUUUGUGUACCAUCUCUGUUGACAGUACCACUGAAAGUCUGUUCCCUUCCUGAAGCACACAGGAUACCUAGGCAGGUUGGUGGCAUGGAUAACUGAAAGAUGAGAAUACAAUAUUAACAUUUGGGGGCACAUAGAUUUUAGUGAGGGUAGAGAUGGAAGAGAGGAAGGGAGAGGAUUUUCAUUAAGUUGAUAACUUGAGCACAAGUCUAAGGCAAACAUUGUCAGGCCUCUGUUAUUCA
rnacentral:lncRNA from 1 species